GCGGCGAAGCGAAGCGGGAAGAAGCUCAAAUUUGUAAUCUGGCGUCCUCCGGGCGUCCGAGUUGUAAUCUAUAGAGACGUUUUCCGUGCCGGACCGUGUCCAAGUCCCUUGGAACAGGGUAUCAAAGAGGGUGACAAUCCCGUACUUGACACGACGACCGGUGCUCUGUGAUACGUUUUCUACGAGUCGAGUUGUUUGGGAAUGCAGCUCAAAAUGGGUGGUAAAUUCCAUCUAAAGCUAAAUAUAGGCGAGAGACCGAUAGCGAACAAGUACCGUGAGGGAAAGAUGAAAAGCACUUUGGAAAGAGAGUUAAACAGUAUGUGAAAUUGUUGAAAGGGAAACGAUUGAAGUCAGUCAUGUCCAUUGGAUUCAGCUGGUUCUGCCAGUGUAUUUCCUUUGGACGGGUCAACAUCAGUUUGAGCCGACGGAUAAUGGCAGAGGGAAUGUGGCACCCCCGGGUGUGUUAUAGCCCUUUGUCGCAUACGUCGGCCCAGACUGAGGAAUGCAGCUCGCCUUUAUGGCCGGGGUUCGCCCACGUACGAGCUUAGGAUGUUGGCAUAAUGGCUUUAAACGACCCGUCUGAA
rnacentral:rRNA from 1 species